GACGAACGCUGGCGGCGUGCUUAACACAUGCAAGUCGAACGGAAAGGCCUUUUCGGAGGUACUCGAGUGGCGAACGGGUGAGUAACACGUGGGUGAGCUUCCCUGCACUCUGGGAUAAGCCUGGGAAACUGGGUCUAAUACCGGAUAGGACCGCACUUUAGUGUGUGUGGGGGAAAGUUUUUUCGGUGUAGGAUGAGCCCGCGGCCUAUCAGCUUGUUGGGGGGGUAAUGGUUGACCAAGGCGGCGACGGGUAGCCGGACUGUGGGGUUGUGCGGCGACACUGGGACUGACGGGAGGCCCAGAUAGCUAAGGGAGGCAGACGGGGGGAAUCUUGACCAAGGGGCGCAAGCCGGAUGAAGCGACGCCGCGGGGGGGAGGACGGCCUUCGGGUUGUAAACUCAUUUCGCAAGGGACGAAGCGUUUUGUGACGGUACCUGGAGAAGAAGCCCCGGCUAACUACGUG
rnacentral:rRNA from 1 species